GGGAGAUUAGCUCAGUUGGUAGAGCAGUGGACUCUUAAUCCAUUUGUCGGGGGUUCGAACCCCCCAUCUCCUACCA
rnacentral:tRNA from 1 species